rnacentral:rRNA from 1 species
UUAGUGGCGGACGGGUGAGUAACGCGUGGAAAACCUGCCGUAUACUGGGGGAUAACACUUAGAAAUAGGUGCUAAUACCGCAUAAGCGCACAGCUUCGCAUGAAGCGGUGUGAAAAACUCUGGUGGUAUACGAUGGUUCCGCGUCUGAUUAGCUAGUUGGUGGGGUAGGGGCCCACCAAGGCGACGAUCAGUAGCCGGCCUGAGAGGGUGGACGGCCACAUUGGGACUGAGACACGGCCCAAACUCCUACGGAAGGCAGCAG